rnacentral:rRNA from 1 species
CCUACGGGAGACAGCAGUGAGGAAUAUUGGUCAAUGGGCGGAAGCCUGAACCAGCCAAGUAGCGUGCGGGAUGAAGGCCCUACGGGUCGUAAACCGCUUUUGCACGGGGAGCAACGGUGUCCUUGCGAGGGCCCGAUGCGAGUACCCGGAGCAAAAGCAUCGGCUAACUCCGUGCCAGCAGCCGCGGUAAUACGGAGGAUGCGAGCGUUAUCCGGAUUUAUUGGGGUUAAAGGGUGCGUAGGCGGGCUGUUAAGUCAGCGGUCAAAUGUCGGGGCUCAACCCCGGCCUGCCGUUGAAACUGGCGGCCUAGAGUGGGCGAGAAGUAGGCGGAAUGCGUGGUGUAGCGGUGAAAUGCAUAGAUAUCACGCAGAACUCCGAUUGCGAAGGCAGCAUACCGGAGCCCGACUGACGCUGAGGCACGAAAGCGUGGGUAUCGAACAGGAUUAGAUACCCGGGUAGUC